AUCAACUUUCUCGGUAUGGCUGUAAAGAAAUAAAGAGGAAUAUUGAGCAACUGACUGGCUAACCUUCAUAGGCAAAUCUAAAGCUGAUGAUGACUUGUGCAGACACACACCAAGGUCCCUUGCCUGUUAAAGAGAACAAAGCAAACACAGAGGUGCAAUUAGUCUUUCUUACUGCUGGAUUGAUUUAACAGUAAAACAGAUCAAGAGGUUUUAAAGUUCCUGGUGGUUCUUACCUUCAAGAGAAUCCAGUAGAAUUGAGAAGUCUUCAUCUUCUAUAAAUAUU